AAGUCUGCUCACCUGCUGCCAAUCUGCAAUCAAGCCACCAACUCUGUCUGCAGUACUUAAGACCGGCUCAGUCCUCCACUCAUCACCAGAUCGCCCAUUUACCAAGCAUGGUUUCCCAGCAACUGCUCAACAACCCAACACCCAGCUCCAGGACCACUAGAUCAUUUUUGGUUCAAAGAUCUGUAGUCUUGAGUUUUCAAAAAUGAUCUUGAGAGAUCUGUUAUCCAAUAAAAGCAGUUGGCUCUGGGAUAUGCUCCACCUUUUA